rnacentral:rRNA from 1 species
UCGAGCGAAUCUUAAGGUGCUUGCACCUUUUGGUUAGCGGCGGACGGGUGAGUAACACGUGGGCAACCUGCCUGUAAGACUGGGAUAACUUCGGGAAACCGGAGCUAAUACCGGAUAAUCCUUUUCCUCUCAUGAGGAAAAGCUGAAAGUCGGUUUCGGCUGACACUUACAGAUGGGCCCGCGGCGCAUUAGCUAGUUGGUGAGGUAACGGCUCACCAAGGCGACGAUGCGUAGCCGACCUGAGAGGGUGAUCGGCCACACUGGGACUGAGACACGGCCCAGACUCCUACGGGAGGCAGCAGUAGGGAAUCUUCCGCAAUGGACGAAAGUCUGACGGAGCAACGCCGCGUGAGCGAUGAAGGCCUUCGGGUCGUAAAGCUCUGUUGUUAGGGAAGAACAAGUAUCGGAGUAACUGCCGGUACCUUGACGGUACCUAACCAGAAAGCCACGGCUAACUACGUGCCAGCAGCCGCGGUAAUACGUAGGUGGCAAGCGUUGUCCGGAAUUAUUGGGCGUAAAGCGCGCGCAGGCGGUCCUUUAAGUCUGAUGUGAAAGCCCACGGCUCACCGUGGAGGGUCAUUGGAAACUGGGGGACUUGAGUACAGAAGAGGAAAGCGGAAUUCCACGUGUAGCGGUGAAAUGCGUAGAGAUGUGGAGGAACACCAGUGGCGAAGGCGGCUUUCUGGUCUGUAACUGACG